UUUCUCUCUCUCUCUCCCCAACUCUUCCCUUUCUCUGCACUCGAUUUCUCUCUGUUUUCUAUUCGUACGAAGGCUAUGAAUCAUGGGUCUCUCAUUUAUUUAAUAAUCAUAUUAUAUUUAGUUUUUUAAUUCUCCUUUUUUCUUAGUUUAUUCUUCUUCUCUUUUUCAAGUGUUUAUGGCUGGUUUCCCCAAUGGCUCACCUUCAUCAUCUCCCUUUCAUCUUCACCUUCACCAGCCUCAGCUCAACAACCUUCCGGACCCGCCUGAGCCUGAAAAAAAUGAGUGGAACACAGCUCAGUUUCCCUGUGACGGAGAUGUGCUCGCUCGCCGUCCUCGAGGUCGACCACCUGGGUCCAAGAACAAGCCUAAGCCACCGGUGGUGAUUUCAAGAGAGAGUACAAACACGCUUAGGGCACAUAUAUUGGAGGUUGGUCAUGGCUGCGAUGUGUUCCAGUCAGUGGCGGAGUACACGGAGAAGCGCCGCUGUGGGAUCUGUAUAUUAAGCGGAAGCGGCAUGGUCACCGACGUGAGUUUGAGACAGCCGGCGGCGGCUGGGGGUGCAGUGGCUUUUCUGCAGGGGCGGUUCGAGAUACUGUCCCUGUCUGGAUCGUUUUUGCCGCGGCCAGCGCCCCCCGGUGCAACUAGCCUGACUGUAUUUCUGGCCGGCAGCCAGGGGCAGGUUGUCGGAGGGAGCGUGGUGGGGGGUUUGACUGCAUGUGGGCCGGUGGUUGUCAUUGCGGCUUCCUUUACGGACGUGGCUUAUGAUAGGGUGGGCGUGGAUGGAGAGGAGGGGCUCCUGCUGCAGCCACCGGAAGAUGAGAGUGGCGGUGGUUGUGGUCUUCCCUUGUACAAUUUUCCUGGAAUCAAUAAUUUGAUGGGAGGCUUAGUUGGGAUGCCUGAUCCUAAUCCUAAUUGACCUUAACCCACAAAAUCUCCUUCACCAUGUUUUGGGGCUAUAAUCUCUGCAUGUUUGUGCACCUUCUUUCUGAUGUAUCCUAUUAAUUUAUCAGACUCGACAGUCCCUUCAACUACCCAUAACUGAGUGUGCACUAUAUAUACAAGAUCAAUAGCCUCUCCAAGAUGAAGUCCUCUUUCUAUCUGCAAGACAAUUGUCAGAUAUGCACAUAUGUUAUGUAGCGAUCGAUAGAGAGGCUUUGAAGGAGCACCAUCUUCUACUUGUGGCCUUCGUCAUUUACUCUCAUCCAAUCAUUCACCCGAUUCUCAAGUCAAUUUCUGAGGUUUAUAUUUGCAGAAAAUGUGUUGGUUAUGUUUGGUAAAAGUAUAAGGA